rnacentral:rRNA from 1 species
GAUGAACGCUGGCGGCGUGCCUAAUACAUGCAAGUCGAGCGAACGGACGAGAAGCUUGCUUCUCUGAUGUUAGCGGCGGACGGGUGAGUAACACGUGGAUAACCUACCUAUAAGACUGGGAUAACUUCGGGAAACCGGAGCUAAUACCGGAUAAUAUUUUGAACCGCAUGGUUCAAAAGUGAAAGACGGUCUUGCUGUCACUUAUAGAUGGAUCCGCGCUGCAUCAGCUAGUUGGUAAGGUAACGGCUUACCAAGGCAACGAUGCAUAGCCGACCUGAGAGGGUGAUCGGCCACACUGGAACUGAGACACGGUCCAGACUCCUACGGGAGGCAGCAGUAGGGAAUCUUCCGCAAUGGGCGAAAGCCUGACGGAGCAACGCCGCGUGAGUGAUGAAGGUCUUCGGAUCGUAAAACUCUGUUAUUAGGGAAGAACAUAUGUGUAAGUAACUGUGCACAUCUUGGCGGUACCUAAUCAGAAAGCUACGGCUAACUACGUG